GCUUCCCACUGGCGAACGGGUAGGAGUAAUAACGUAGGUAACCGUAACCUUUAGGUACGAGGAGUAACCUUUGGUAAACGAAAGGAUAAUACUGGAUAGUAUAGAUUUCCGUCAUGGAGAUAUAUUUAAAGAUUUAUCACCUAGAGAGGGCCGUGCGGUGCAUUAGCUAGUUGGCGGGAUAAAAGCCCACCAAGGCGAUGAUGCAUAGCCGGACUGAGAGGUUGUACGGCCACAAUGGAACUGAGAACGGUCCAUACUCCUACGGGAGGCAGCAGUAGGGAAUUUUCGGCAAUGGGCGGAAGCCUGACCGAAGCAAUGCCGCGUGAAUGAUGAAGUAUUUCGGUAUGUAAAGUUCUUUUAUCUAGGAAGAAAAAACAAAUUGACGGUACUAGAUGAAUAAGCUCCGGCUAACUACGUGCCAGCCGCCGC
rnacentral:rRNA from 1 species